rnacentral:lncRNA from 1 species
GGUACAGGCGGGUUAGGGUCAGCAGCACUUGGUACAUGGUACAUAGCAGAAAUUGGCUCCACAAAUGUGUUUUUCGCCAACAUAUCGUCAUCGGCAGAUACUUCUUGAUUAUGGUUGAGAGGCUCUCCAUCAACAAGCACUUCUGGUUGUUGUUGCUCUAAUUCUUCUGUCUUCUUAUAACAUGCAUCGCGUCUUCUUUUUGUUUUUCUCUUUGCUGCUUCAUUUGGUUUAACAUUGCUUAGAGUGUUUACCUGAUAUAACAAACACAUUAGCAAGUUAGAUAAAACUAACACAAAAACAAAAAACAACAAUUAAUUUAGCAGAAUAAAACUAUAAAAUUACCCUCUUUUUAGGUUCUUGUUUGAUAUUGUGUUUAACCAAGACUUUCGCAACCCACUUAGACCUGGAACUCUUGAAAUUUAACACCAUUCCACAAGUAUGCAUCGGGCAUAGUGACGUCACCCUAAAUGUUUCCUUGCUUCUCACUAUUCUCACAUUAACUUUGUAUCCACAUUUUUGGUUGAACUUACAAACAGCUUUAACCCUCCUUUUCUCAAUCUUGGCAAAUUUUAUUUUUC